rnacentral:ncRNA from 1 species
UCGAACCAUAGGUCUAAACACUAUGUGGUUAAGAGUCCAGUCGAAAGGGCUGUGCUAGUCAAAGCUGAUCAGCAGAUGGGCGCGGAUCAGUAGUUGGCAAGACCGUCAAAUUGCGGGAAAGCGUUGCGAAGUCAAUGGUACGGUCCGCUCGGGGAAACUCGAGCCGCAACUCAGGCUAACCACCUGAGGUAUCGUAACAACCCAUUGAAUAGACGCAAUCCGCAGCCAAGUCCUAAGUGCCGGUCUUCGGACCAGCAUAUGGAUGCAGUUCACAGACUAGAUGUCGGUCGGGGGUCUGCUUCACACGCAGUCCUCUUAAGGUAUAGUCGGUCCCCAGCGAGAGCUGGUCUUACCGGAGGAAGUCCUGCGCCAGGACCGAGAGCCGGUAAGAGGUACAGGGUA